GACGAACGCUGGCGGCGUGCUUAACACAUGCAAGUCGAACGAUGACGACCGAGCUUGCUCGGUCUGAUUAGUGGCGAACGGGUGAGUAACACGUGAGCAACCUGCCCUUCACUCUGGGAUAACCUCGGGAAAUCGGGGCUAAUACCGGAUAUGAGCUCCUGUCGCAUGGCGGGUGUUGGAAAGUUUUUCGGUGAAGGAUGGGCUCGCGGCCUAUCAGUUUGUUGGUGAGGUAGUGGCUCACCAAGGCGAUGACGGGUAGCCGGCCUGAGAGGGCGACCGGCCACACUGGGACUGAGACACGGCCCAGACUCCUACGGGAGGCAGCAGUGGGGAAUAUUGCACAAUGGGCGAAAGCCUGAUGCAGCGACGCCGCGUGAGGGAUGACGGCCUUCGGGUUGUAAACCUCUGUCAGCAGGGAAGAAGCGAAAGUGACGGUACCUGCAGAAGAAGCGCCGGCUAACUACGUG
rnacentral:rRNA from 1 species